UACGUAGGGGGCAAGCGUUGUCCGGAAUCAUUGGGCGUAAAGAGCGUGUAGGCGGCUUGGUAAGUCCGCUGUGAAAGUCCAGGGCUCAACCCUGGAAAGCCGGUGGAAACUGUCAAGCUUGAGUCCGGAAGAGGCGAGUGGAAUUCCUGGUGUAGCGGUGAAAUGCGCAGAUAUCAGGAGGAACACCGAUGGCGAAGGCAGCCCCCUGGGCUGACACUGACGCUCAGGCACGAAAGCGUGGGGAGCAAACAGG
rnacentral:rRNA from 1 species